AGUCUACUCACCAUCAGUUUUCACUGAAAUCACAAACUGGAUGCUUAGAUUUCCUUGCAGUCAGGAGUCCAUGUAAAAUAUUAUAUGUAAUAAUAUCCUUUAUUAAAUUCCUUAUGCUUUGGCGUUCCCAUCGUGGCUCAGUGGAAACAAACCUGAUUAAUAUCCAUGAGGAUUCAGGUUCCAUCCCUGACCCCACUCAGUGGAUUAAGGAUCUUGCAUUGCCGUGAGCUGUGGUGUAGGUUACAGACAAGACUUAGAUCCUGCAUUGCUAUGGCUGUGGCUGGCAGCUGCAGCUCCAAUUUAACCCCUAGCCUGGGAACUUCUAUAUGCCUGCAGUGUGGCCCUAAAAAAACAAGAAGAAAGAAAAAGAAAAAAAGGACCGAAAGGGUUAAGUGAUCUGCCGAAACCAAACAACAGUUAAUAAACAUUAGUACAGGGACUUGAUCCUCAUUUGUCUGAUUCCAGCCAAGCUUUGAGCACCUUCAAAAGGCCAAACUACAGAUGGGUACAUAUAUGUUCAGCCAUUACAACAACCAGAUAAAGUAGAUAGUCUGUUAAAGAUGAGGAAAUGAGGAGUAGGGAGGUGAGGUGAUUGUGCUGAGGUCACACGUCUUAGAGUGGUCAGAUCAGAAUAUGAAUCAAGGCCUCUGUCUCUAAACCCGAGGCAUUUUUCUCUUUCUAUCCCCUCCCCCUUCCCUCUUUGAUGUAUCAUAGCCUCUUCUCUGCCUGCACAAUGAUCAUGGUAUUAUUCUAGUUGCCUGCUCCUUUCAGGUAAAGUGAUAAUUAGCAAAGAUUCCUAGGGGAAAGGUGUCAAGUACAUACACUUUGAAAACCCAUGCUGGAUUUUUCUCAUCAUUGAGUCCAUUACCUUGUUGAAUCUAAUUUGGUACUUGUAGAAACAGUAUGAGUUCUGUGAGUAGUGUUCAGUAAGCUUCAGUGAACUAAACGGCAUUCCGGUGGCCUAAGAAAACUCAUACUGCUCCUAAACAUGUAUGAAUAAUGGUUGCCACCUGCAAGUAGCUUAGGCGGUAGGGGAUUACACUUCAAUUCUGAAGGGCUUGGACUGGAUGGGUAUGUUCUGAUUUCCUUCUUCCCCCAAGAUUUUUUUUUUGGAUGUAUAAUGGAUAAAUAAAAUAUAAGAUAUUUAAGGACUUCCCUUUGUGACUCAGUGGUUUAUGUGCUUGACUAGUAACCACAAGGAUGCAGGUUCCAUCCCUGGCCUCGCUCAGUGGGUUAAGGAUACGGCAUUGCCAUGAGCUGUGGUGUAGGUUACCGAUGAGGCUCAGAUCCCACUUUGCUGUGGCUGUGGCGUAGGCUGGCGGCUGAGGCUCCAAUUCGAACCCUAGGCUGGGAAUCUCCAUAUG
rnacentral:lncRNA from 1 species